GCAGGAAGGAGAUUGGCUCUGUUCCUUGAGGUGCGCUUCUGCUGUUUCUGCAGGAGCUAACAGAGUCCAGCCAGUCAGAUGUCAGUUUUGGGGACUCUUCUGGCACUAUUUCCAAGGCAGGUACAUGCAAUGUGUUCGCAGAAAAGAUGGCACUUCCAAACAGUGAGAGAGCUGUCUCUAACCCACUCAACCUGAGAGCACUGUACUACUGAGUGAGCUCUGCCACUUAGUCAAGACCACUGUGGUGCCAUCAAGACCUACAUGGUAUCAGUGAUCCACACCUCUCCCUGACUGUGAACAGCACAUUAAAAUUUCACUAUUACUGUGUACCCAAGGCAUACGCGGUUUGACUGCUAUCUACCUUCUAAGAGAAGCUGUAAUGUUAAAUAUCUAACCAGGAAAACAUGCAUUUUAAGCAAUAUUUUUUCUAACUUUUAACAUCUGAUCGGUCCAACCCAGCCAGGCUUUAAAGCUGUCUGUUGAGAAUCCUACUUCAAUAUUUUUGCUGAUUCAUUGUAUGUAUGAAAGGGAAAACAAAAUCCAAGAUUUUAUGAUUUGAUAUGGCAAAUACACCAGAAAAAAAAAUAAACACUUUAAAAUAAGUUUUACAAUAAUUCAAACAAACUUUUCUGCUUUCUGUUCCACCGCUUCACAUGAUGACCAUCCUCUCAAGUGACAAGAUCUUCAGUAUUUUGGGGUUCAGCACAAAAGAUCUUUGUGCCAGAAACUAGAACAGUGAGUGGCAACACAACUCGUUCAGCCUCUGGGAUGUUCAGCAAACUGGAAAGAGGGAAGAAAAUUGGCUAGCUGCAGCAGGAAUCAGAUGUUAGUACCAGAAUAAAACUGAUCCUCUUGACUGAAGGCUGGACAACACAUAAUGACAGUGAGGAGAGAACAGGAAAGGCAUUUUUCAAAGGCAUACUCUACUGUCAUAAAUCCAGAGGCUUCCUUCAGAGCUGGGGGAUUCUGCGAGAGCAAAGAACACAAGUAGAAUAGGCAAUGAUCGUAUCAAGAGCACAACAAAAAAGUUAGAAAAUAGGAGAAGAAGAGAUGCCCACCAACUUGAAGCAAUGAUGUCAGGAAAGACCGUAAUUUCUUGUUCUACCUCAACAAGAAACUUAACAGCACACAGAACAUUUUGCUUUAAAAAUGUCCUCCAGUGCCUGCAUGGAGUAUCUAUCGGAAGGUGACACUUUCCUUCUCUUGUGAUUGGUUGUGUGCCCUGGGAAAUGUAAAAAUAUCACCAAGGUAUGCAUAAGAGAGAAGUUAAUUAGUUUAACUUCCCGAUGGGAAUAUAUUAACAGUGUAAUAAGAUGCUCAAAGACUAUCUUUAUGAUUGUCCCUGCCAAAAUAGUUGCUGGAAAGCUUUUAUUUUUUAAUGCAAGAAGUUUUAUCCUCCAUAUGGAGAUCCAGAUGCUGACUAUGAUCUUUGUGUGGCA
rnacentral:lncRNA from 1 species